rnacentral:lncRNA from 10 species
CAAGCAUCAGCAUGCCAUUUCCUGAAGGGGACUUGAUGGCAUAUUUAGGCGAAAUUCUUUUCUGGACACUUGAUGCUUCCCAGUCCUGUUUCUUGCACUAACAAUGAAUGAAUGAAUCACAAAAAUCCUAGAACUUUAUGCGUUUUCAAGAAGUUGCCUGAAGAAGGAACUUCCUUGUGCGGUACGCCUCAGGAAAAAAGAAGCAGGAGAAAAGCUUUGAGAGGAGAGCAAGUGACGGUGAGAUCGUAAUGGAAGUGGGGUGGAGAGGUGGAGGGUGGAGACCGGUAGGAAGCAAGCAAGGCUUUUUUCACCCGUCCCAGGACACGCGAACGAGAUCAAGCCUCACUGCGGUUCACUAGGGUCUAUGCAGGCCCUCGCACCCCUGCCUACCUCCUCAGAACCCAGCCUCUUGGCUCUUCUCACCCCAGCCCCACCAGACAGCUUCCCUCCCAGGAGGUGUCUCUCAAGAUCUCGAAAUGUGGAGCGUCCCGUUCACUCCACCUGGCCUGGAAUACUUUUCCUGCCCCCUUUCAUCGGGUCUUAUUCAUCCUUUAAGUUGUUCAGCAUAACUUUCCACCUGAAUGCCUUCCCUGGCCCUGGACUAGGAUAAAUCCCCUCGCCAUAAUGUUCCUACACAGGCAUCACUUUGUAAAGCUUACCACUGUUGUAAUUACUUGUUUACUGAUCUGUCUUUCCGUUAGGCUGUGCGUUCCACUGGGGUGGAAACCUUGUUCACUGGCUCUGCAGCCCCGGGCACUGUGGGUCUUGCAUGUACCGGGGGCUCAGUAAAUAUUUGGCAAAAAAUGAAAAAGUUCCCCUCAAAGCCAGCUUCCAGUGCCUCCACGGCCCUCAAAUUAAUUAUGAAUUAAUUCACUAAUACAGCAAACCUUUAUGUGAUUCUUCCGUGUCACAGCACCUUGUUACAUACUGAGGACACAUCCACAGGCAAAUAAAACUCAGCUUCUCUCUGCACAGGAAAAAAUUAUUCAAAUUG